rnacentral:rRNA from 1 species
AACGAACGCUGGCGGCAUGCCUAACACAUGCAAGUCGAACGAGAUCUUCGGGUCUAGUGGCGCACGGGUGCGUAACGCGUGGGAAUCUGCCCUUUGGUUCGGAAUAACAGUUGGAAACGACUGCUAAUACCGGAUGAUGACGAAAGUCCAAAGAUUUAUCGCCAGAGGAUGAGCCCGCGUAGGAUCAGCUAGUUGGUGUGGUAAAGGCGCACCAAGGCGACGAUCCUUAGCUGGUCUGAGAGGAUGAUCAGCCACACUGGGACUGAGGCACGGCCCAUACACCUACGGGUGGCUGCAGUCGAGAAUCUUCCACAAUGGACGAAAGUCUGAUGGAGCGACGCCGCGUGGUUGAUGAAGUACUUAGGUAUGUAAAAACCUUUUAUGAGGGAAAAAGUUUAUUGAUUGUACCUCAUGAAUAAGGGGUUGCUAAACUCGUGCCAGCAGCCGCGGUAA